CCCUUAGAUGUUCUGGGCCGCACGCGUGCUACAAUGGCAAAAUCAACGAGUAUACCUUUGUCGACAGACAUGGGAAAUCUUUUCAGUUCUUGCCGUGAUGGGGCUAGUCCCUUGUAAUUGUUGGUCUCCAACGAGGAAUUCCUAGUAAACGCAAGUCAUUAACUUGCGCUGAUUACGUCCCUGCCCUUUGUACACACCGCCCGUCGCUCCUACCGAUGAAUGGUCCGGUGAGGACUCAGGAUGCCUUUUGUCUCGGUUCGCCGUACAAAAGUGUCAGAAUUUGUUCAAACCUUAUCAUUUAAAGGAAGGAGAAGUCGUAACA
rnacentral:rRNA from 1 species